rnacentral:rRNA from 1 species
GGGUUGUGAGGUUAAGCGACUAAGCGUACACGGUGGAUGCCCUGGCAGUCAGAGGCGAUGAAGGGCGUGCUAAUCUGCGAUAAGCGCCGGUAAGGUGAUAUGAACCGUUAUAACCGGCGAUACCCGAAUGGGGAAACCCAGUGUGAUUCGUCACACUAUCAUUAACUGAAUCCAUAGGUUAAUGAGGCGAACCGGGGGAACUGAAACAUCUAAGUACCCCGAGGAAAAGAAAUCAACCGAGAUUCCCCCAGUAGCGGCGAGCGAACGGGGAGGAGCCCAGAGCCUGAAUCAGCAUGUGUGUUAGUGGAAGCGUCUGGAAAGGCGCGCGAUACAGGGUGACAGCCCCGUACACAAAAGCGCAUGUGCUGUGAGCUCGAUGAGUAGGGCGGGACACGUGGUAUCCUGUCUGAAUAUGGGGGGACCAUCCUCCAAGGCUAAAUACUCCUGACUGACCGAUAGUGAACCAGUACCGUGAGGGAAAGGCGAAAAGAACCCCGGCGAGGGGAGUGAAAAAGAACCUGAAACCGUGUACGUACAAGCAGUGGGAGCACCCUUUUGGGUGUGACUGCGUACCUUUUGUAUAAUGGGUCAGCGACUUAUAUUCUGUAGCAAGGUUAACCGAAUAGGGGAGCCGGAGGGAAACCGAGUCUUAACCGGGCGUUAAGUUGCAGGGUAUAGACCCGAAACCCGGUGAUCUAGCCAUGGGCAGGUUGAAGGUUGGGUAACACUAACUGGAGGACCGAACCGACUAAUGUUGAAAAAUUAGCGGAUGACCUGUGGCUGGGGGUGAAAGGCCAAUCAAACCGGGAGAUAGCUGGUUCUCCCCGAAAGCUAUUUAGGUAGCGCCUCGUGAAUUCAUCUCCGGGGGUAGAGCACUGUUUCGGCUAGGGGGCCAUCCCGGCUUACCAACCCGAUGCAAACUGCGAAUACCGGAGAAUGUUAUCACGGGAGACACACGGCGGGUGCUAACGUCCGUCGUGAAGAGGGAAACAACCCAGACCGCCAGCUAAGGUCCCAAAGUCAUGGUUAAGUGGGAAACGAUGUGGGAAGGCCCAGACAGCCAGGAUGUUGGCUUAGAAGCAGCCAUCAUUUAAAGAAAGCGUAAUAGCUCACUGGUCGAGUCGGCCUGCGCGGAAGAUGUAACGGGGCUAAACCAUGCACCGAAGCUGCGGCAGCG